GGCCGCCUGGCGAAAUGGCAUCGCGUCUGACUACGAUUGCGUUAUCAGGAGAUUGCAGGUUCGACCCCUGGGUUGGUCA